GGGGUGGCGCGAUGCCACACCAUGUGUCCUAAAGGCAUCGUCCACAUGACGGACGCCUACGUGCAUCCUUCUCCGCAACCUAUAGCCUAACCUGCCUGCCCUUUCCCCUGUUGACACCUUGCGUAUCUCUCCGCUGUCGCAGCCAACAGUUUCCACGUACAAAUCCGCCUCCGCCGAUUAACCAUGUGUUGCUUUUCGCAUGCUUCACAAAGAAAUUGAAAAGAGGACGGCGAACGUAUCGUUACGGUGGUGGUAGCGGUGCGGAUAGAGGUGGAAGACUGUGGUAUUUGUGCUAAACGCACUCAAAGGGUUUACCGCCGUGUUUGAACCUCAAUUUCUUUCUCUAUUGUGUGUACGUCCGGAUUUAACUUUGCACAAUUCAGUUUAGGAAUGGGUAGGAACUAGGAAGAAGUCAGAGAACUUCGCAGUCGGAGAUGGUGACGGUCUGUGAUCUCUACAGCGGUGAUGGUAACCCCAAAACAGUCGUUCUAACGGCGAUAGUUGGGGUUAUGAAGGAAGACGGUAGCAGCAGUAUAGGGGCUGUAGCCGUGGACUGUAUCCCUACUGACGAAAAGUGAUUCUGACACUUGCCAAGCACGACCGUGUCAAAAGGUGGCAUGGUAGUGCCAAACGCCCAGCAGUUUAAAUACGAGUUCCUAGCUCAUUUGCAAGGGAGUUGGA
rnacentral:lncRNA from 1 species